AGUGAAAGACUCCCUGGUUCUGAAAGAUGCAGUCACUAAUGAGAGGCUAGGGAUUAACUCGACGGAGAACGAGCGCCCUCUGGUGGGUUUGCAGCAGCUGCGACUCGUGACAAUGCAUACUGUCUAUACUUUGAAAACGUUCUUACAGUAGUCUUGCGUUGCUGAUGAUUAAACCCGGGACUUUUAGAGUUAAGCCAGAACUGUUGUCACCGAGCAGUAUCUCUGACCCAAUAAUAAUAUUUUAGAAAGGAGUUUGUUCGCAUAGGGCAGUUUGAAAGCCUAGCUACUCCUGUCUCCAGGUGCUUCUUGUCCGGCACUUUAUCAGGUGAAGUUCUAAAACACGUUAAGCAGCAACCGUGGGCACCAGAAAAAGAGUUACUUAAACGUUUAAAACGUUGACUCGGUUUGACAAGCUUCCUUUUUUUUAAUUUUUUUACUUAUAUGAGUACACUGCAGCUGUUCUCACACACUAGAAGAAAGCAUCAGAUCCCAUUACAGAUGGUUGUGAGCCACCCUGUGGUUGCUGGGAUUUGAACUCAGAACCUCUGGCAGAGCAGUCAGUGCUCUUAACUGCUAAGCCAUCUCUCCAGCCCUAGCUUCCUAUUGUUGAAGCAAAGGAAAUUACUUCUAGUCCACAUGAUGCGGUUACUGCCAGGCAUAUCAAUGAACGAGGUGUGCUUCAGAUGAACACCUGAUAGUUCAUCUUCUUCUAAAAUAUCUAUUACUGGUUUGUGCCUAUGGUGUGUAUGUAUAUGAGUGUAGACAUAUUUGUGUUUGGAGCUCGGGAUGAUUUUCAGGACUCAGUCCAUCUCCUUCCAUCUUGAAGUCAUCAUCAGAUUUGCAUAGCAAGCACCCUUACCUGCUGAACCAUCUUGCCGCCCCCGAGUAUUUUUCUACAUUACUUUUGUUUGCGCGUGUUUGAGUGCAUUGUACACACUCUGUGCACAUGAAUGGGAGUUCUGUUCCACCCCAUGAGCCCUAGGAAUUGAAUCAGGGCAUCAUGCUUGGUGCAAGUGUCCUGCCUUCCUAUCAUCUCUCCAAACCCCUAAUCUUGUUUAUGUGCCUUGGUGUUUAGUGUACCUGGGUGAGCACAUCAGAUCCCUUGCAACUGGAGUUAUAGACAGUUGGGAGCUGCUGUGUGGGUGCUGGGAAUUGAACCCAGGUCCUCUGGAAGGUGAACUGGUGCUCUUAACCACUGAGCCAUCUCCACAGCCCCUCCCCCCCCUUUUAUUUAUGGUGAAAGCCAGUAAUGGUGACACAUACCUAGAAUCCCAGAACUCAGGAGGUAGAGGCAGGAGAAUCAGAAGUUCAAGGCCAUCUUUGCCUAACCAGGGAGUUGAAGGUCAGCUGGGUUACACAAUACCCUGUCUCCAAAAAUCAGACAACAGGAAAAACCCUUAGGAUGACUUGGGAGGACUCACUCUAUAGCCUUUACGUCAUAAACUUUGGUGGGGCACAGUUAUGGAGGAUGGUGGGGUGUCAUUUGAGAAGGAAGUGAAACACAUGGUUCACAGUGACAAAAUGGAUACAGAUGAACCCUGCUUCCUAUGAAUAUUAGAAUCAAUUAAGUCAGAAGGGCUCAAGAUCGAUAAUUAAGAUGAAAUGCUUUAUAUUGGUCUACUAUGACAAAUAGAUGUUCUCAUUAAAGUAGAAAAUAAGAUUAAGAUAAGUAUGUAGACACCACAACUGUAUAAAGAUGUAUCAUAAAUAUCAGUGAGCAGAGAAUUUGCAAUGAGGCUGCGUGUAACUCUCACUAUCCUUUAUUUUGUAAAAUUAUUUUCAUAAUGAAAGAGUAGAGGCCAGUCUCCCAUACCGCCCCCCCCCAAAUAAAUGAAUAGUGACUAUUCUUUAGGUAAAUUAGGAUGUUGAAAUAAAUACAGAAAGCAGGGUCAGAUAGGAAGAUAAAUAUUGUAAUUUAUCUACAAGUAACAUUAUAAAAUGGAACUAGACUAGCCAGGAACUUGCUUCUGGAAUACCUAGGCACUCAGGCAAGCUGAACAGAUUUCAAGACAUCUUAGACAGACACCAGGCCAACAGUUUCUUUAUCCUCCUUCCUCCUUCUCAGGACAGUUUCUUUCUGUCACCCACACCCAACCUUUAAUAUCUCUUCUGCUUUUGACCACCUGAUGACCAAUUUUCAUAAGAAUAAAGUUAGAAGGAGUAUCU
rnacentral:lncRNA from 1 species